GGGAAUAGCCCAGCGCAUAACCUCGCCGUCCUCCGGGCGCGAGGGGUGUUGCGUUUCAGAGGGUCCAGCACGCCGCCCCAUACCGUCUAAGUCAAGCUUGAAAGCUGCCACUACCCAAGGAGGGUGAGAGGCCCGUAUGGCGGCGCCCGCGAGGGCACAGAUGGGGCGGUCGGAAAGGACGACGACCUGUCUCUGUAGAGUCGGGUUGCUUGAGAAUGCAGCCCAAAGUAGGUGGUAAACUCCAUCUAAGGCUAAAUAUGACCACGAGACCGAUAGCGAACAAGUACCGUGAGGGRAAGUUGAAAAGAACUUUGAAGAGAGAGUUCAAGAGUACGUGAAACCGUUAAGAGGCAAACGGGUGGAAGCUCGAAGGUCGAACGGUGGGGAUUCAGCUCGUCGGCAGGUUUUUUUCGGCUGGCGGAGGGUGUAUGUAAGCGACCCUGCUAGACUUGGGCGCGCCCUCCAGCCACGCAGGCGUCGGCGGGCGUAUUUCGCCCCGUAGUAGACCGCCGCGACCCGUUGCUGGGGACGUCGAAGGCCCGGGCGGAUUGGUACCUCGCCGCCGCUCUCACCGCUCAAGCCGCUCCGGCGGACUGGGCGCGAGCGAGCGACGGGGGAAACCCCCGGUGUUGUCCUGACUGCCCUGCGACGGUCGCUGAGACGAGACCCGGCUUCGGCCGGGCCUCUCGCGGCGUGCACAGGUCGGUGGUCCACCCGACCCGUCUUGAAACACGGRCCAAGGAGUCYAACAUGUGUGCGAGUCAUUGGGUGCACUAAACCCAAAGGCGCAAUGAAAGUGACCGGGGCGGAUGGUGGCGAUCGCGUUGGUGAGGGGGAGGAAUAGGAGUAGUCGGGUGUAGCAAGGUGGUUUCGUCACUGAAGCCAACCCCUAACCCCUUCUUCUUCGUCUUCUUCUUCGUCUCGCGUGUGUGUCAUCCCGUUCCAGGGCCGAUCUCCGACCGGCUGCCCGGGGCCGCCUUAGGCUUCGUCCCUAUCCCGCUGCCGGUACACAGGGUGAGCCAUUUUCCCCUGCCUCUGCCGGCGCGGCGACGGGCGUUAGUCUGCACGGGCGUGUAUAUCCGGGCGAAGGUCUUCUUCUGCCGCCGCUUCGCCUUCCUCUCCUCUUCUUCUGCCUGCUGGUGAAUAAUCAACGGGUGGGGCUGGGGUUGGUGUGGGUGGAGUGGCUUAGGGGCGCAGGCCCGGGACUUGCCAGGACGCCGCGUGUCGUCUCCGUCGUUGGCUUCCGCUUAACCCCCGGAGCGCCGUUCUGCGGCGUGUAACGGGCAGCGGCGGCUGCCGCGGCGGCGAUCCGGCGCGCGUGACACAGUCGGCAAGUACCAUGAGCAGAUAUGUUGGGACCCGAAAGAUGGUGAACUAUGCCUGGCCAGGAUGAAGCCAGAGGAAACUCUGGUGGAGGUCCGUAGCGAUUCUGACGUGCAAAUCGAUCGUCGGAGCUGGGUAUAGGUAAGCAGAACUGGCGCUGUGGGAUGAACCAAACGUCGAGUUAAGGGGCCUAAACGAAUGCUCAUUCAGAUCCCAUCGAAAGGCGUUGGUUGCUAUAGACAGCAGGACGGUGGCCAUGGAAGUUGGAAUCCGCUAAGGAGUGUGUAACAACUCACCUGCCGAAGCAACUAGCCCUUAAAAUGGUAUGGCGCUCAAGCAUUCUCCCGAUACUCGACCGCCGGGGCAAUGCCGGCCGUCGCUCUCAGGCCUCGAAGCCCCGGUGAGUAGGAGGGUCGCAGUGGUGAGCGCUGAAGGGGUCCGGCGUGAGCCGGCCUGGAGCCGCCACUGGUGCAGAUCUUGGUGGUAGUAGCAAAUACUCGAGAGAGACUCCCUUGAUGACCGAUGUGGAGAAAGGGUUCCAUGUGAACAUCAGUUGGACAUGGGUUAGUCGCUCCUAAGCCCAAGGCGAAA
rnacentral:rRNA from 1 species